UUCUCUAUAAAACUAGAUUACAAAACUCCACUUUAAUUGUUCCUAGCCUUCGAAGUCUGAAUUUUCAGUCAGAGUGGUCAUUGUGCUAUGUUGUAAUUCAAAGUGGGAAAGAGUAACUAAACAAAAAUCUCUAGACAUUUAUUUGGACUUGCUCUCCUCUGAAUAUAUUAUAAUAAUUUAGGUUUUGCAGUCUUUGAAAAAAAACCUUCAUGACACCUCUUGAAAAAGCAUGAUCUCUGUUGAAUAUUAUUUCAGUUUCCUGCUCUUGAGACCCGACAGCAGUGAGAGAACAGUACAAGCGGCACAGGAGCAUAACAGCUAACGUAAUGCUAAUACAGCGCCAGCAAUCACCACUGCCUGUAGGAGUUCGGUAUGUUCUCCCCAUAACUGCAUGAGCUUCGUCCAGGUGCUCCAGUUUCCUCCCACACUCUAAAGAUGGACAGGCUGACAAAAACAGAAUAUUUGGAAUUCACUAUUCAAAAGCUAAUGCACAUUCAGAUGUUAUGGAAGUCAAGACAAUAUGAGGAAUUGAACAAUAAUUUUGUUCGUUACUUUUGGUCAUCUGCUCAAAUAUUUUUGGUGUUUGAUAAUGAAACUCAGUAACGUGCUCUCUAUACAUGCCACUGGGAGACACAGACUGCAGAUACUGGAAUCUGGAGCAAAAGACAAUACUGGAUGAAUUCAGCAGGGUCAGGCAGCAUCUCUGGAAGGAAAUGGACAAUCAGCAUUUCAGGUCGAGACUCUAUUGACACCCAUCAAACCUCCUCCCAAACUUAAUCAUUAUCAGGAGAACAACAACAACUUCUUCAGAUUAACCUUAAUGAUUCUAGAAGAUCUUCAGUGUGCUCUCUCCUUGAAGGAGGUUGUGGACAACAGAUACCAUGCAGGAAGUAUAGAAGCAAUUGCCAGGUAUAUAUCUGA